UCUUUGUAAGGGCAGUUAUUGAAAGGUUCCGAUAACAAAAAAGUAUUUCCGGCAUGUAAAGACUGAAAAUUGCAGAAUCGUCAUGAAAUAAUGCAUUAACAGCAAGUCUGGUUAAAAUGCCUGGGAAGAAGAAGCCGUUCAUUGACAAGAAGAAUGCAGUGACCUUCCACCUUGUCCACAGAAGUCAGAAGGACCCACUUCAGGCCAGCGAGGAGGCGUCCAAGCAUGUCCUGCUGCAAGCUGUCACUAAAAAGGACUUUGAAGAGAAGAAAGAGGAGGAACAAAAGUAUGGGGUAUUUUACGAUGAUGAGUACGACUACAUGCAGCACCUGCGAGAAACUAACGAAGCGUGCGAGCUGGAGGCUGUUGACGUCAACCGUAUACCAUCAAGACAGGAGCAGCAGGCUGCUAAAAUCCAACUCCCAUCCACAGCGUUUGCAUCAGAUAUAGAAACUGGAGUAGGGCUUUUAAAUAAGGCAGCCCCUAGCACAGGGCCAAAGCUUGACUGGGACCCGGAGAUAGUUGCGGCUCUUGAUGAUGAUUUCAAGUUUGACGAUCCUAACAACCAGCUAGAUGAUGAUUUCAUGGAACUGGCUAACGCUGAGGGGACGUUUGCAGACGGAAAAGAAUUGGACAGUGAUGAAUGUGACGUGGAUUCAAAUGAUGCAGCCAUGUCUGAUGAUGAGAUGGGUGGUUACCCUGGUGACCAGAUGUUUAUGGAUGAGGAGACGAAGUCACGGUUCACCAGCUACUCUAUGUCAUCAUCAGUGAUCCGCAGGAAUGAUGGACUCACGCUGCUGGACGAUAGGUUUGAAAAGUUCUACGAGCAGUUUGACGACACAGAGAUUGGACCACUAGACCAUGAAGACAUAGAGGGUGCUGUCGACCAGAACAGCUACAUGCUCAACACGAUCCUGGAAGAGUUUGAGAAGCAACAAGACCCUAAGAAGCUUAAGGAUGUUGUGGAUGAGAAUAUCGGGGAGGAAGUGGAUGGCAAGAACGAUGAGUCAGAGGACGACGAUGAUAUGGUAGAUGUGGAGGUGCAGGAACCUGGGGAAAAGUGGGACUGUGAAUCUAUCCUUAGCACAUAUUCAAACAUAUACAACCAUCCAAAGUUGAUCGAGGAACCAAGGAAGGAAAGAAAAAUAAAUUUAACCUCCCGGCUAGGCAUUCCAAACGAAUCACUCAAGAAGUCAGGAUUGACACAGAAACAGAUAGAAAAGUCAGAAAGGGAUGCCAGACUGGCAGACAAGGCGAGUACAUACCGACCGAAGGAUGAAACGCAGCGAGAGAAGAAGGAGAGGAAACAGGCAGUUAAAGAGGAGAGAAAGGAGAGAAGACAAGAGAAAAAGGCGAACAAGAAAGCGUUUACAGAAGAAAAGAUUCGAUUAGAAAAAGAACUGAAAAAUUUAAAAAACAAUUUACAGGGUGUGAAAAUUGUCUGAGAAAAUAUAUAAUGAUUUUGUCAAAGUCAUUGGCAGGACAGCUUCAAAGUAUCGUUCACCUAGUUGAUGUCAGUCAGGUUGGGAGGGUACUGAUUUUGAUGUCGCAGAUGGAAUACAAAGUAUCGUGCACCUAGUUGAUGUCAGUCAGGUUGGGGGGUACUGAUUUUGAUGUCGCAGAUGGAAUACAAAGUACACUAUUAUAUUGACUAAUAGGUGUCCAUAUAUUUAAGAUGCAAACAUUUGGUACAAUGAUUUUAAAUAAGUUUCAGUGAUACAAGAGUUGCUUCCCUUUAUCAGUAUCCAACUGUUUUGAGACCCUGUGAUAAACACCCAAACACUUUAUCGUUCAUAACAUAACCAUUCAUCAACUUUAAUAGCUGCAUCGCCCGAGGUAAAAAAUUACAAGUGUUCCAACAUGAAGGAGACUACACUUUGUUUCCUAUGUAGUGUGUACUGACCACCGGUCAAACUUCAGACUGGAGGAGACAUCAAUCCACUUCCUGUGUAGUGUGUACUGACCACUGGUCAUACUUCAGACUGGAGGAGACAUCACUCCACUUCCUAUGUAGUGUGUACUGACCAACGGUCAAACUUCAGACUGGAGGAGACAUCACUCCACUUCCUGUGUAGUGUGAACUGACCACUGGUCAUACUUCAGACUGGAGGAGGCAUCCCUCCACUUCCUGUGUAGUGUGUACUGACCACCGGUCAAACUUCAGACUGGAGGAGACAUCAGUCCACUUCCUAUGUAGUGUAUACUGACCACCGGUCAAACUUCAGACUGGAGGAGACAUCACUCCACUUCCUGUGUAGUGUGUACUGACCCCCAGUCAAACUUCAGACUGGAGGAGACAUCACUUCACUUCCUGUGUAGUGUGUACUGACCACCGGUCAUACUUAACACUGGAGGAGACAUCAGUCCACAUCCUGUGUAGUGUGUCCUGACCACCGAGUGUGUCCUGACCACCGGUCAUACUUAACACUGGAGGAGACAUCAGUCCACAUCCUGUGUAGUGUGUACUGACCACCGAGUGUGUACUGACCACCGGUCAUACUUAACACUGGAGGAGACAUCAGUCCACUUCCUGUGUAGUGUGUACUGACCACCGGUCAUACUUAACACUGGAGGAAACAUCACUCCACUUCCUGUGUAGUGUGUACUGACCACCAAGUAUGUACUGACCACCGAGUGUGUCCUGACCACCGGUCAUGCUUAACACUGGAGGAGACAUCACUCCACUUCCUGUGUAGUGUGUACUGACCACCGGUCAUACUUAACACUGCAGGAGACAUCACUCCACUUCCUGUGUAGUGCGUACUGACCACCGGUCAUACUUAACACUGGAGGAGACAUCACUCCACUUCCUGUGUAGUGCGUACUGACCACCGGUCAUACUUAACACUGGAGGAGACAAAACUCCACUUCCUGUGUCAAUGUGGUUUUCCAGAUAUAUGAUUAAUGUCAAGUAAAAUGCAUACAGAUGCUGUUCAUUAUGUGUUUUGUAUAUAAGCUGGUGAGAGUGUGAUGAAAAGUUACAUUUUGUAUGUAUAGCGAGUGUGUAAGUGAGUGACUAAAGGAAGGUUCUGUUUAUUUAUUUUAACACUGUAUGUCUUGACAUUAUUAUAUGUGUUAAUAAAGUGACUUUUAUAUAA
rnacentral:misc_RNA from 1 species